GCGACCCCAGGAUGGGCGAGGCCACCCGCCGAGUUUAAGCAUAUCAAUAAGCGGAGGAGAAGAAACUUAC
rnacentral:rRNA from 1 species